GUGCUGACUUUGGCACCACAUCUACUAAAACUAGGAUACAGAGAUUAGCCUGGCCCCCGGGUAAGGAUGAAGAGCAAAUGUGUUUUAUUUACAUUCACUUA
rnacentral:snRNA from 1 species